rnacentral:tRNA from 2 species
GCCGGGGUAGCUCAGGGGUAGAGCAGGGCCCUGAAAAGGCCUGUGUCGGUGGUUCAAAUCCGCCCUUCGGCACCA